rnacentral:rRNA from 1 species
GACGAACGCUGGCGGCGUGCCUAAUACAUGCAAGUAGAACGCUGAAGGAGGAGCUUGCUUCUCUGGAUGAGUUGCGAACGGGUGAGUAACGCGUAGGUAACCUGCCUGGUAGCGGGGGAUAACUAUUGGAAACGAUAGCUAAUACCGCAUAAGAGUAGAUGUCGCAUGACAUUUGCUUAAAAGGUGCAAUUGCAUCACUACCAGAUGGACCUGCGUUGUAUUAGCUAGUUGGUGAGGUAACGGCUCACCAAGGCAACGAUACAUAGCCGACCUGAGAGGGGGAUCGGCCACACUGGGACUGAGACACGGCCCAGACUCCUACGGGAGGCAGCAGUAGGGAAUCUUCGGCAAUGGACGGAAGUCUGACCGAGCAACGCCGCGUGAGUGAAGAAGGUUUUCGGAUCGUAAAGCUCUGUUGUAAGAGAAGAACGAGUGUGAGAGUGGAAAGUUCACACUGUGACGGUAUCCUACCAGAAAGGGACGGCUAACUACGUG